rnacentral:lncRNA from 1 species
UAGUAAUAUUUAUCCUGGUGAAAAACAUUUUAUUGAUGAAUUGCAGUAUAUCCUACUGCUAGGGAAGUUUUUUUCUCUUGAAUAAGAUAGGUUAUUUAUGAUCUCCAUUUUCAGUUGAAGAAAUUGGAGCGCAGAAAAAUUAAGUAACCAAAUUCACAGGGCUGAUCCAUCUAUGGCCAUCAAGCAGCUUGAAGAGGUUUUGUGUGGCCUGGCAGUUUAGAUGAGCGAGGGGAGCGCAGUGGAGGGCUCUCCACCAGGAGCCAACAGUCGAACUUGGAAAUGUUUGAAUGUCCCUUUGGGGCUCUCGUUCUCCCUGGUUUGUUUUCAAGAGGUCAGAACGGCCCAGGAGACACUGAGUCCCCGGGUUGGCUGAGGAGGGAAAACAUCAGACACUCCUCAGAAAGUCCUAGAAGUUGGUGUGCUGGGAUGCACCUGGCUCCACAGCGGGGACUGCAAGAGGAAGCUGCAGGUGCCAAGGGGCUGCCCAGAGCCUGGGUGUUGAGGAGGAGCAAAGGAACUGAAGCAUCCGGCCGUGGCACGUUGUGGCGAGGACUUCUCCUUCCUGACUUCAUUCAUAAGUCGGGAACGGAGGGGGCGAAGAGGCCUGGUUAGUGGAAACUACGCAUUCUUGCCUGUUUACUUGCUUUAGAUGAAAGAACAUACCACAAUACUGCUCCCCCCCGCAAAAUAAGUAAAUAACGUUAGCCAAACUGGAUCUUCUCUGUAAAUUGCAAAAGCAUCUGCAGGCAGGGGCCACAGAGAAGCUUCCAGGCGAUCGACUUCACUGCCUUUCCAGCAUCUGAGUAAUGGGGAUGAGGGUUUUCAGUGAGAUUUUUCCAGCUGCAGGUCGAGAGCAUUUCUGAGCUUCCCGUGGGUCUUGGUGGUUAUUUUUAGGAUAGAAAACACUAUUUUUCUUACAUGACCACCUGCCAUCUCUCAAAGUUCUGGGACUCCCUGAAGGCCCAAAUAUCUUAAUUCUUUUCUCCUCUUUGCUUCUUCCUCCCAGACCAACAUAAAUAAUUCGUAUGAUCAAGUAAGUUCCAGAACCGGUGUACAGGUAGAAGUCCGCACCCAGCCCCAGUUGUCCAGCCCAGCCCUGGAAGCUGCUGACUCUAGAUCAGAGGUACUCAAACCGAGGUGGAGCGUCUCUUUGGCAAUAUUGUGACUGGAGAUAAACGGCCAGACUAGAAGCUGUUUGAAAGGUGUCUUCAGGCCCCCCAGCUCAAUGAAUCAGCGCUUCCAUCCUGUGUCCCGUGGGACGCCAAACACGCUCCACCCCCUGCUGAUUCUUUUCAGUUAAGUGAAUAACAACUUCGGUGUUCAUUGUCGAAGGGCUAUGCAGUGGCGUGACUUGCCUUAUUAAACUCUUUGAGCACACCAAUCCAUAAGACAUUUCUUUUUUUUCCUUUGCCAAAGGGAACUUUGACAACUCCAUUCCAGGGCACGAAAGCAAAACUGAGCAGUCCUGUGUCUUCCUGCCCCGUCAGCGACAGGUUUGGAUAAGACCAGUCUCAAGGACCUGGUGGGUUUUGCCCCUUUGUCUUUCUCAAGGCUACAUUGUGGAUAUAAUAUUCCUGGUCUGUCACAUAAAUGCCUUUUCAUCUCUCCCCUUUCAAAGUCCAGUUUCCCCCAACUCACCAAGUGGUUGCGGUGCAGCUGUCUCCCACAUUGUUUGGGAUGUUUUUACUUUCCUUGAUUAUGUGUCUGUUAGACCUGGUGCGGCUGAUUUAGUAACCAGACCUACGACACUGGCAACCGGAUUUGUCUGACGGUCAGUCAAUGACAGUGCACUCAGUGAGACCGUCCAAAUAUUUCCAUUUUUCUAGACCCUGCAUUUGGAAUGAAGCUGUCCUUUAAACUCCCCACCAUGAAGUGACCUUCUACUCCCUGAGCUCCUCUGGCUUCCUGGUACAGAGGCGUUGGACAGCCUCCUUUCUCCGCCGCAGCACACUCACCGUUGCAGCUCUGAGAACUGGAGUCUCUCUCACGGUUUUCAAUGGGACCAAUUCAGCGGGGACACAAAUACCCCUCAUGGGAGACAUAUUGGUAUCUCUGGAGGGGUGUGUGCAUGGUGAAAAAUAUAUUCAGUAUAAUUAUUUUUCCACAAUAUAAACUGCAAGACAGAGAGGCUAGAUUCCCUUAGCCUGAGAGGGAAUCAUGGAUAACAGAAAAUAGAGGGAAUAUUCUAUGGGCCUGAGUUAAACACAGGGUGACUGCACGUCCCGGUUUUCUCAGUUCUGUCCCAGGUUAAACUUAUUGUUCAGGAAUAAUUAUGGGUAGCCCCCUUUUUUGCUCUCCAGAUAUCUCAGCUUACACCUUAAAUUAUGCGAUCACCCUGGUUAAACAGAGCUUCAGAAGCACCGGUCUGAUAGGACCUCCAAAACAGUUCUCUAAGUUGUUACAUUCAAGGUGCAAUACUUGAGAGGAGAGUUUGGGUAGGAGAAUGGCUUCCCAGCAAAAUAAAUUUCACUUUUAGUCGUGCA